rnacentral:rRNA from 1 species
GACGAACGCUGGCGGCGUGCCUAAUACAUGCAAGUCGAACGCAGUGGGGACGGGUGAGUAACACGUGGGUAACCUCCCAUCAGAGGGGAUAACACUUGGAAACAGGUGCUAAACCGAUACUGUUGGAUGAACCCGUGGGGCAUUAGCUAGUUGGUGGGGUAACGGCUCACCAAGGCCACGAGGCAUAGCUGGCCUGAGAGGGUGAUCGGCCACACUGGGACUGAGACACGGCCCAGACUCCUACGGGAGGCAGCAGUGGGGAAUCUUCGGCAAUGGACGAAAGUCUGACGGAGCAACGCCGCGUGAGUGAAGAAGGUUUUCGGGUUGUAAAACUCUGUUGUUAGAGAAGCGGUAUCUAACCAGAAAGCCACGGCUAACUACGUGCCAGCAGCCGCGGUAAUAC